CCAUUUCCCCGAACCAUCGCUUGGAUGAUGAAGCACAUCGCAGAGUACUGCUUCAUCACCAUUCAGGAAUUGUACCCUUUUAAAUUUCUAUAUGGGUAUGCGCUGCUUUUGACACAGCUUUUGUUGUAAGCAGGCACUAAAAUAGAAGCUUAUAAUUAGCUAUCUGGGGAGGCAAGUGUGUGGUAGAACAGAGCUCAGCAAGAGAAAAGUCAAGGCAGGUCCUGGGGAAACACUGCAUGGAAGAUGAGUAAUACAGAGCCCAAGAGUGGAUUGGCAGGAAGGGUGCAGGACCUAACCCAAUGACAAUGCUCGCAGGAGGAGCCCUCCAGAAGGCAACAGCUCCAAACCUCUUGGUACAAAGGAACUCUCUACGUUUAGUUCUCUCGACAACUACCUACUAUAAGAUGAAGUUUCCAGGAACUCAUGUGAUCAUGAGACUCUGCAGUCACUUCAGGGGGUCUUGUUGACUGGCUCGGGGGGCUGGUGUCAAGCCCAAGCAGAAGAGCCCUCAGAGCAAGCAGCCCUGCUUCUGUGGAUGCUGGAUGGCAUCAUCACCAGGCGGGUCCUUCAGAGUACUGGGAGCAGCAUGCAGCCCGAUAGAGUUGGCAAACGUGAAUCUACUAGAAGAUUGACAUGGAGAUCGACAACAGGAUGGUGGACCUCAUGGCCCACACGGCCUCUAAGGAAUAAGACCCCCAGACCACUAGCCCCAGCAAAAACACAAGAGGAAGAGAGAGGCCCUCAGCUGCUGGGGACAACUUAUCCACAUUCAUGGCAAUGUACUGAAGAAAUAUAUAUUGAGCACCAACUAUGAACCAGGCACCAGGACACACCAAGAACACAUUGUUCAUGAUGCAGAGAAGAAACACUUGCAUAACAACUAUAUAUUGUGGUAACUGUUCUACUAAAGAUUAAUGUGAAUUACCAGGAAAGCAGAAAGAAGGGAAUGACACGUCUGAGAAGUCUUCAUAAAAGUACAUUGCUAAAGGAUGACCAAAAUGUUCAAAGGUGAAAAUGACAAUUUCAGGCAAAGAGAACAAUUGAUGCAAAGGCAUGUAAUUACGACACAGCAUAGCAUGUCUAGAAAAGGACAAGAAGUUUGGUGUGGAGCAAUUAGGGGAGUGCAAGGAGAUGCAAAGAUACACAGCUGGAGAUAAAGUGGGUGCUGUGGAAAGUCUUCUAAGCCCUGCUAAUGAGUUUCAAAUUUAUUCACUAUGCAUUGAAAGCCAUUGAAAGGGGUUAAGCAAGAAAGAGACAUGAUCAUAUUUG
rnacentral:lncRNA from 1 species